CGUCAGUGUCGGAGCGAGAGUGCUGGCACGAGCCCUGAUAUUUUGUGUAACUCUUUGUGUUUUAGCUUUACUGGUGCAGCUCGUGCAGCUCGUGACUUGUUUCUAAAUGGCUAAAAGUAAGAAGUCUCUGAAGAGCCUGUUCUCCAGAAGCGAGCUGAACCUGAAGGAUUCCUCAGAGAAGGAUGAGAGCAGCGCUCGCUCCAAAACACUCAAAUUCUUCACCUGGAGAAAAAAGAAGAAGACACCAGGAGACACCACAGCCACCGACAGAACUGAAUCUCCUGAUCCCAGUGUAGAGGACUGGCCUGAUUCUGACCAGAGGACAUCUAUUUACGCUACUGCCCCAAGGUCAAAGGGGCUCCUAAGUAAGUCUGAGACUGACCUCCACAAACGCAAAGGCUUCACUUCAUUCUCUCUGGGCUGGAGGAAGAAAAAGAAGAAAAUAGCACUUGCCCAGAGUGUUGCUAGCAUCGAUACUGAGCCAGAUGUCAAUGACCAAACCAGAGAGCAGCAAAAUGAAGAGGAGGAAGACCUGGAGGAGAAUGUUUUCAGCCAAGAAGCACAAAGUGAGGUGGUUAAACCUGCAUCCACUCAUAACCUGCCCUCUUUUGUCUUCAUUGACCAGCUGAUAGAGUCUGAAGGAGUUCCAGAAGGUCCUAGCCCAGCCUCAGCUCCUUUUACACCAGUUACCUUGGAUGGCACCUUCAUUUCUUACAUUGAUUCAGACAGUGAUGGUUACCACACUCCUCCAGAAAGUCCUGAUAUGGAUGCAAUGGCAUUUUUUCAUGCACAAACGGACAACACUACCAUUGGUCAAUCUCUUGAUGACUCAGUUGGAACCUCUUUCAAUCUUUAUCCUGAAACAAAUGCAGAAAUAACGACCACCACAAAGUUUGCCACUCAUGAAAGCCAAGAAUCCAAUAUUUCUACAAGAGAUUUCACCACAGAUAAUGAUGACAUGGUCCAAGCAGUUCUCGGAACCAUGAGCUUUCCUAUGAGUCCAUUGGACAAUUCUUCUGCAGUGCCUGCAAGUGCAGCAUCAGUCAUUGAACCAUCUACCAGCUCCCUCAUAAAUGGACACCAAGCCAAUACCAGCAUCAUGAUCCCUGAUUCCGGCUCUAAAAUUUCAGGAAUAGAGGAAGCUGACUCAUCACAAGGUCACACGGAGUCAAAUAACCCAUACGCCACAGUCUCUACUUCAGUUUUACCACAGAACUCCACCUUCAGACCAGCCACGAGCCCUUCCACCAAACAAAUCUCUAGUCAGGUCACUACAGAUAAGAUGAUUGUUGGACAAAUUGACUACCCUUCCAAAAUUGGACCUACAGAAAUGUCAACCAACAAUAGUGAUAGUGCCAUUCAGGUUCCUACACCUGAAUUGUCUUCAAACACCAAGCAACAGAGCUCAGAUCCCAGUCUAGAUGCUGGUCCCGGUCAGGCCUUGCAUUCCAUUGGUGAAGCCUUUGGUGACUCAAUUGUGAAAAAUGAAUCUGACUCUUUUCCCAAAUCUCAGAACCUUUCAGUCUCUCCAAAAGUCAUCUCAUCAACUACAGAACUUUACAGCUUCUCUCUCGAUCAUCAUAUCUCUGACAAAGUUUCUGCAGUGGAUACUUCCAAGAACAGAACAGAAUCCACAUCUACUGAUGUAGCUGAUUCAAACCAGUCCAUUUGUGCUGCUGUCGAACAAGUUUCCCAUGACUUUGAACCUGUCCAACUCGAAAAUAAGCCAAACAUCUCCUCAAAGACAGGAAAUACUAUCAACACAUCUGACUCAGGAUCUCCAUAUACCACUAAGACAAAUAUGUCAUCCACCAUGACGUAUGGAAGCUCAGAUCACAAUCCCAGCCAUGACUGGGCAUCAUCAUCCUCUGGUGACUCAGUUCUGAGAGAGGAAUCUGAUUUAAUCCCCAAAUCUCUGGACAUUCCAGUCCUUCCAGAAGUAAUCUCAUCAAACAUAGAACUUUCCAGCUUGUCCAUUGAUCGUAAUAACUCAAUGGAUGUUUCUGUAGUGGAAACUUCCAAGACCAGCACAGAAUACAACUCCACUGAUGUCCCUAACUCAAACCAGCCCAUUCUUGCUGCUACUGAACAAGUUUCCCAUGGCUUUGAACCUGCCCAACUCAAGGAUAAUUCAAAUAUUUCCAUAACAAAAGGAGACACCAUCAAUACCUUUGACUCAGGGUCCUCAUACACCACUAAGACAAAUGAAACCAGCACAGAAUCCUGUUCUACUGAUGUAACUAACUCAAACCAGCCCAUUCUGGCUGCUAUUGAACAAGUUUCCCAUGACUUUGAAACUGGCCAACUCCAAGACUCCAACUUUAAAUCAAAUAUCUCAUCAACAGCAGUAGACCCCAUUAAGACCUUUGACUCAGGGUCCUCCUACACCUCUCAGACAAAUCUGUCAUCCACCAUGAUGCAUGAAAGCUCAGAUCACAAUCCCAGCCAUGGCCAAGUUUUGUCAAGCUCUAGUGACUCAAUUCAACUCAAGGAUAAUUCAAAUAUCUCCAUAACUAAGGGAGACACCAUCAAGACCUUUGACUCAGGGUCCUCAUACACCACUAAACAGACAAAUCUGUCCAGCACAGGAUCCUAUUCUACUGAUCUCACCAUCUCAGACAAGCCAGACUCUACUGCUGUUAAACCACUUUCCCAUGGUUUUGAACCGGCCCAACUUCAAGACACAAACCUUAAGUCAACUAUCUCCUCAACAACAGUAGACCCCAUUAAGACCUUUGACUCAGGGUCCUCCUACACCGCUCAGACAAAUCUUUCAUCCACCAUGAUGCAUGAAAGCUCAGAUCACAAUCCCAGCCAUGGCUUGGCCUCGUCAACCUCUAGUGACUCAGUUCUGAAAGAUGAAUCUAAUUUUAUCCCCAAAUCUCUGGAUAUUCCAGUCCUUCCAGAAGUAAUCUCAUCAAACACUAAGCUUUCCAGCUUCUCUAUCGAGCGUCAUAACUCAGAAGAAGUUUCUCCAGUGGAUUCUUCCAGGAUUAACACCGAAUCCAACUCUACUGAUGUCACAGACUCAAACCAGCCCAUCCUUACUGUGGUUAAACCUGUUUGCCAUGACUUUGAACCUGCCCAACUCAAGGAUAAGUCAAAUAUCUCCAUAACAAAAGGAGACACCAUCACGACCUUUGACUCAGGGUCCUCAUACACCACUAAACAGACAAAUAUGUCCAGUACAGAAUCCCAUUUUACUGAUCUCACCAUCUCAGACAAGACUGACCU
rnacentral:lncRNA from 1 species